rnacentral:pre_miRNA from 1 species
AGCCUUCUGUAUCCGUGCUGAGAUUUCGUCAGCGAUCAACCCAUUGGGGCUGAUGCAAAUUCCCGAAUACGUGAAGUG